rnacentral:tRNA from 1 species
ACUGCACUGGCAGAAUUAUGCAUUGGACUUAGGAUCCAAUUAUGUGGGUGUUUAAAUCCCAUGUGCAGUAA